CCAAAUCGCAUGCAAUUAACUAUAACGGUCAACCAUUUAGUGGUGUCAUAGUACGAUUAAAACGCGUAUGACAAAGGGUAUAAGGGUCAUUACAAUGCAUGCGUACUUUAUCAUCGUACGCCGGAAAACCCAUUUCCACAGAGCAAAUUAGCAGAAAACCUAGUUUCACGAAAUCGGAAUGAAGAGGAAAAGGUACGUACCGAUCUUCUUGACAUUGGUGUUGGUGAAGUGAUACAUGAGAAGAUGAACAGUUCUCAAACUGAAGCUCUGAUUGUAAGAAGACAAAGCCCUCUGCAAUUCUUUAUCAUCGAUCAAACCACUUCCAUCUUGAUCCGCCACUUGAAAGCAUGCAACGAUGCUUGGAUCGGUACCGGGAGGGAAUGUUGACGGAACCAGUGAAGCGAACGGGCUUGCGUACGCCGGUGGUGGGUAGGUAGCGCCACCGCCGCCGGAGGAGUGAGAAUCUUCCUUUGGUGGUUUCUGGUAAGGGGCGGCGUAAGGAGCGGAGGGUUGGCCGUAGGAGGUGGGGGGUGGUGCGCCGUAGGAUUGAGAUGGCGGUGGUGCGCCGUAGGAUUGAGAUGGAGGAGGAGCGCCGUAGGAUUGGGAUGGUGGAUGUGAGCCGUGGGAUUGAGAUGGAGGAGGGGCACCGUAGGAUGAUGGUGGAUGUGAGCCGUGAGAUUGGGAAGGAGGUGGUGCGCCGUAGGAUUGGGAAGGAGGUGGUGCGCCGUAGCCGUAACCGUAACUGGGAGGUUGAUUUGGGUAGCCGGACAUGUUGAAGAGUGAGAGGGUUUGUUAGAGAAAAUUAUAUGAGUGAAGAAGAGCAGAGACAAAUGAUAGUGGAUUUUGUGGAGGUUCUGGAUUUAUAUACAGCUACUCCUGAUAUAUGCUGAGGUGGAAUGGUUAUGUGG
rnacentral:lncRNA from 1 species